ACAGAGGGAUAAAAAGAGAGAGAGAGAGAGAAAGAGGGAGAGAGAGGGAAAGAAGAAAAAGAGCGAAAAUUUAAAGCUAAAAGGGCGGCACUUCAUAAGUGAAAGGCGGGACGUAACCAGUGAUAAAGCCAUCAUCCUCCUACAUUUUGCAACCAACCAAUGAAAUUAACAAUAUCUCUUUUCUCUCUCCCUCUCUCCCUCUCCCUAUUUCUCUUUCUUUCUCUCUUCACUGUUA
rnacentral:precursor_RNA from 1 species